rnacentral:rRNA from 1 species
CCGGAAUCACUGGGCGUAAAGCGUCUGUAGGUGGUUUAAUGUGUCUGUUGUUAAAUCUUAAGGCUCAACCUUAAACCAGCAAUGGAAACUAUUAUGACUUGAGUGUGGUAGAGGUAGAGGGAAUUUCCAGUGGAGCGGUGAAAUGCGUAGAUAUUGGAAAGACCACCAAUGGCGAAGGCACUCUACUGGGCCAUUACUGACACUGAGAGACGAAAGCUAGGGGAGCAAAUGGGAUUAGAUACCCCAGUAGUCCUAGCCGUAAACGAUGGAUACUAGGUGUAGCUUGUAUCGACCCAAGCUGUGCCGUAGCUAACGCGUUAAGUAUCCCGCCUGGGGAGUACGCGCGCAAGCGUGAAACUCAAAGGAAUUGACGGGGGCCCGCACAAGC